GCCCUAAACCUCAGUAGUUAGAUAACAAAACUACUCGCCAGAAUACUACGAGCAACAGCUUAAAACUCAAAGGACUUGACGGUGCUUUACAUCCCCCUAGAGGAGCCUGUUCCGUAAUCGAUAAACCCCGAUCCACCCCACCCUCUCUUGCUCAGCCUAUAUACCGCCAUCUUCAGCAAACCCUAAUGAAGGCUACAAAGUGAGCGCAAACGCCACUGCCGCGAAUACGUUAGGUCAAGGUGUAGCCCAUGAGACGGUAAAAAAUGGGCUACAUUUUCUAUUUCAGAAAACCCCACGAAAACCCUUAUGAAACUUAAGGGUCCAAGGAGGAUUUAGCAGUAAAUUAAGAAUAGAGUGCUUAAUUGAACCAGGCCAUAAAGCGCGCACACACCGCCCGUCACUCCUCUCAAAUAUAUUUAAGGAAUACCCUAACUAAACGCCCUAAUAUUUAUAUAGAGAGGAUAAGUCGUAACAUGGUAAGCGUACUGGAAGGUGCGCUUGGAUAAAU
rnacentral:rRNA from 1 species